UGGGGAAUAUUGCACAAUGGGCGAAAGCCUGAUGCAGCAACGCCGCGUGAGUGAUGAAGGUCUUCGGAUUGUAAAGCUCUGUCUUUUGGGACGAUAAUGACGGUACCAAAGGAGGAAGCCACGGCUAACUACGUGCCAGCAGCCGCGGUAAUACGUAGGUGGCGAGCGUUGUCCGGAUUUACUGGGCGUAAAGGGUGCGUAGGCGGAUGUUUAAGUGAGAUGUGAAAUACCCGGGCUUAACUUGGGUGCUGCAUUUCAAACUGGAUAUCUAGAGUGCAGGAGAGGAGAAUGGAAUUCCUAGUGUAGCGGUGAAAUGCGUAGAGAUUAGGAAGAACACCAGUGGCGGAGGCGAUUCUCUGGACUGUAACUGACGCUNAGGCACGAAAAGCGUGGGUAGCAAACAGGAUUAGAUACCCUGGUAGUCCACGCCGUAAAACGAUGAGUACUAGGUGUAGGAGGUAUCGACCCCUUCUGUGCCGCAGUAAAACACGUUAAGUACUCCGCCUGGGAAGUA
rnacentral:rRNA from 1 species